UGGGGAAUUUUGGACAAUGGGGGCAACCCUGAUCCAGCAAUGCCGCGUGUGUGAAGAAGGCCUUCGGGUUGUAAAGCACUUUUGUCCGGAAAGAAAACGUCGUGGUUAAUACCCGUGGCGGCUGACGGUACCGGAAGAAUAAGCACCGGCUAACUACGUGCCAGCAGCCGCGGUAAUACGUAGGGUGCAAGCGUUAAUCGGAAUUACUGGGCGUAAAGCGUGCGCAGGCGGUCCGCUAAGACAGAUGUGAAAUCCCCGGGCUUAACCUGGGAACUGCAUUUGUGACUGGCGGGCUAGAGUAUGGCAGAGGGGGGUAGAAUUCCACGUGUAGCAGUGAAAUGCGUAGAGAUGUGGAGGAAUACCGAUGGCGAAGGCAGCCCCCUGGGCCAAUACUGACGCUCAUGCACGAAAGCGUGGGGAGCAAACAGGAUUAGAUACCCUGGUAGUCCACGCCCUAAACGAUGUCAAACUAGUUGUCGGGUCUUCAUUGACUUGGUAACGUAGCUAACGCGUGAAGUUGACCGCCUGGGGAGU
rnacentral:rRNA from 1 species